AGUUGGAUAGCUCAGUGGUAGAGCAUAUGCCUUGUAUGCACAAGGUCCUGAGUUCAAUCCCCAGUGCAUCCA
rnacentral:tRNA from 1 species